UACAGAGGUCCCAAGCGUUGUUCGGAUUCACUGGGCGUAAAGCGCACGUAGGCGGCUUUCUAAGUCGGAGGUGAAAUCCUGGAGCUCAACUCCAGAACUGCCUUCGAUACUGGAGAGCUUGAGUCCGGGAGAGGUGAGUGGAACUGCGAGUGUAGAGGUGAAAUUCGUAGAUAUUCGCAAGAACACCAGUGGCGAAGGCGGCUCACUGGCCCGGUACUGACGCUGAGGUGCGAAAGCGUGGGGAGCAAACAGGG
rnacentral:rRNA from 1 species